UAUGCUUAGGGGCAGCCAGGGGGCUGCGCAUGCUACCCCCACCCCAACCGCCACCCUCGCAGCUCCCAUUGGUUGGGAACUGCGGCUAAUUGGAGCUGCAGGGGCGGUGCCUGCAGACAGGGCAGCGCACAGAGUCGCCUGGCCACACCUUUGCGUAGGAGCCAGGACACACCAUUGAUUCCAGGAACUGCUCGAGCUUCCUCAGCUUGCAGCAUAAAUUGUUGAGGAAGGUUGGAUUGCAACAGCAGCAAGUUCCUGUACAAUUGCUGCAGAUCAGAACUGCCUGAAGGAACAUAAAGUGGAGUUGUGAUGAACAACAAUAUCUCAAGAUCAAGGGA